rnacentral:lncRNA from 1 species
UAGGUUAUUGAGAUGGGAGAAGACGAAUACGAUCCACCCAUCAUCCUUGGAAGACCAUUCCUCAGCACCGUUAAGGCAAUCAUCUACAUUGGAACUGGAGAAGUCCAUAUGCACUUCCCCUCAGAGAAGGUACGCCGCUAUUUUACUGACCCUAACUAUAUUGUUAAAGAAUCUAAGCACGUUAGAAAGCGACGCAACCGCAACCAGAGGAGGCAAAUCAUCAAGGACGGAUGGGCAGACUACGAAGGAGAAGUGGUAAGGUCAGAAGACGUAGAGUUUAAACAGAACUAUCCUGAGGAGACCGAAGCACCGAGUCAGGUGUGGAGAGAAAAGAUAACCAUACAUGAAGAAGAGGCACCGCCGAAAGUACCGACUCCGCCAUCCAACGUAUCCCAGGACGAAUGAGAAAACGGAGAGUCCCGUUCAGAGGACUUAAAAACACCGAACACCUUGCCAAGAGGUAAACUUGGUAGUUAUCCUUUUCCCUUUCAAUUAUUUAAAUAGCUUGCUUAGUUAAUCAUGUUCAUGCUAACCUAAAAAGAAAAUAAAAAUGUGAAAAAAAAUAGUAAGCCCCAUGUGAGUAUACGAGUGGCAUAAAAACCCAUAAGUACAUUCACUGUGGUGGCAUAAAAAUAAAAUAAAUAUUUCUUUUCUGCUCUAUAAAAUGAAAAUACAAAAACAGAGAGUAAUAUUAAGGAGUCUCAACAUGAUAAAGGCUAGAUAUCUAUGCUAACACUUAAUCAGUUCCACAAGCUUUGUUGUCUAUUUGAGCUCCACAAAAUUUAAGAAUCAAGAAGACUAGCAGACGGAGGACAUUCUAAUCGCUGUCAGAAUGCUGCUGACUUUCAAAUACACCUCUGCCACCUGCUAGCUACAUCAAGAGAAAUUACGUCAAAAUUCAGCUUGGGGGAGAGCACCCCCAUUUAUCUCGAUAAGUAUUUCUAUCUAUCUCUAUACUUAUACUAUAUUAAAAUAUACAUUACUAUGGAAAACUAAAUAAAGAUUUUAUGCUUAUAUAUAUAUGUCUUUUGCUUAGUAUGUUUAAUAAAUAAAUAAAGUGGCUAUGCUAAUCUGUAUCUAAAUAAAACUCUAGCAUGGAUAUGACGAAUAGUUGCUCUACCUAAUUUGCAAAUUUGAAGUUCUCUCACUAGUUUAGAUACAACUGUUAUAAUUUAAAGCUUGCUCUAGACCUAAACUUGUGGGAUGAAAACUUGAUCUGAAGUCUAAGUUGUUAACGGAUAUGAUAUGGGAAGGUUGAGCUGCUGUUUAUCUAUUCCUAGAGAUGCUAGAAUUCUGUAGAAUUUUAUCUUUGAAAAUCUUUAAAAUGUUGCAUGAUGAGUUCCUAUAUGAUGAGAGUUUAAAUUCCAACCACAGCCAUAUAUACAUGCUUGCUAGACUUUGAGCCACACAUUUACUAUUUACUGCUUAUGAGCAUUGAGUGUGGUCAAGCUGUGUAGACCCUUAGGAGCUUGUCAUGUGGUUGAAUCAAGAUUUCACUUGCACGUUCACUCACAUAUGCUGCUUCUACUCCAGAAGUACCAUCCACAUAUAUCCACCCAAUUCCAUCUCCAGAAUCACCCAAAAAUAUUCUACUCCUAAUCCGAGAGAGAAUAACCAAAAAUAUUUCUGUUUUUCCCCUAUGAAAUAAAUGCUCAAGUUAUCUUGUAACUACCACUUGCUAUAUUAUCUCAUGAGAUGAGUGCUCUAAAAAAAGAAAAAAAAAACAGAAAAGAUACGAGGAAAUAAAAAGGGGCAAGUGCCUGGAACCUCGAAAGAAAAGAAAAAGUGAGACGAGAGGUAAAAAUGGACAAGUGUUCGACAGUAGAAUUAGAGGUACAAGAUACCCACCUGAGAAGAAAGAAAAAAAAAGAAAAGAUAGAGCAUCUCAUUCUCCUCAAAGUUUCAAAAAGCAAGGAAGGUAUGUAUCCUCUCAAAGAGCACAGGUAGAAUUAGACUUCCACCAUUGUUAUCACCAUCAUUACCAUACACCAUUCAUUUGCCACACAUGCACAUCUUGAUUUGGCUUAUUGAUUUGUUUCUUUGGAUCCAUGGUUUGACUAUACAAUAAAUGUCUUGUAAGUAUGUAUACUUUAUCUCCCACCUAUGAGCUCCAGAUAUUAAAGCCUUAUUAGAGUAGGGUGAGAGAUAAGGCAAUGUCACUAUGCCAUAUACCAUAAAUACCACAUAUAUUGAGAGAAGGCACAUACCAUCACUGCCAUGGUAAGGAUCCAGAAAUACCACAAAGGAGAGAUUUGAGAGAGUCAUACAAGGAAUCUCUGAGUUUUAUUUGAAAAUCUGCAAAAACUCCAGAGCUAUAGCUGAUCAAGAAUAAGAGACAUGGCACUUGACUAGAAUGUUCUAUCCUUUAACUACUCAAGACAGAAGUGACGGUUACAAGUCCCAUGGUGAAAGGUAAAGUAAGUAAGUUUUAUGUCUUGACAGUUUACUCUAACUCAGAGAUAAGAUCUUAUUAUAAAGCAUGUGUACCGUCAAUUUUAAAAGUAUUGCAGCAACUUCUAAUCUAUCCUUGCUCAGGGACGAGCAAGUGGUAAGCUUGGGGGAGUUUGUUGACGGUCCUUAAGUAUCAAAUUUAAUUAUCAAAUAAACAAAGAAAAGGAUCCAAAUGAAAUCAACAUCUAGACUUAGGGUUUUAUCUGACAGAAUUCCACGAGUUUUGGUGUUUGUCUAUUUCUGCAGGGGGUUAUUAGGAAAUACGAAAGAAAGGCCCACACGUCGGGAUUACAUAGAGAUAUUAACGUGCCGCACAAUUAUCUUACAUCUAGAAGACUCAAGAAGCCACGGGAAGGAAGCGGAGGUCGAACGGGGCCAGGCACUGGGCGCCCGCCCAGUUGCCCUGGGCGCCCGCCCCCUGUUGGAGUCCAAACAGGACUCUCUCUCGGGAAAGACCUCCACCGACCUAAAGGAUCAAGGAUUAUCGUUCAAUCAAUGUCGGUUUGAUCCAACGGCCCAUAUUCACUUGAAGGGACUAUAAAACCAGACCCCCUGGCCACUGGAGGAGAGAGCCUCUCAACCCUAAUUCAUUAUUCUUCAAGGGAGAAGAAGCCUCUGAUCAAGAUUAGAGCCACCACAUCAAUUAGAUAUCUAGAUUAGCAUAGCUACAUAGGAUUAGAACUAGAAGGAGCAAAUCUUCGAUUGGUUUUCAGAUCUGUCAAGAGGAUUCUUGGUAAUUCUCUAAUUGUGCUUCUAAUUGUUCUUCUAAUCAUCUUUGUUCUUCAAUAUUAUGAAUAUGACUUUGUUCUACUUCAAAAUAUUGCUUAUGACUUUGCUCUACUUGCUUAUAUUCAAGAUUAUAUUAUUCUUAGUUUGUCAUAGUUAUGUACUUGGCUUAGUUAGAUUGGAUCUAUAUACAUGCUUAGGAUCGUAUAGCGUUUAUCCAUCGGAUCCAUGGGUAAAUGAUAGAUAUUGUGUAGGCGUGGUGCUUAUACCGUAUUUAUCUGCGAUUGUACCCAAUAUGCAAGAUCGUGGGGUAGUUCGUGAUAGUGACAACUGUUGACGGUCCUUAAGUAUCAAAUAUAAUCAUCAAAUAAAUAAAGAAAAGGAUCCAAAUGCAACCAACACCUAGACUUAGGGUUUUAUCUGACAGAAUUCCACGAGUUUUGGUGUUUGUCUAUUUCUGCAGGGGGUUAUCAGGAAAUAAGGAAGAAAGGCCCACAUGUCGGGAUUACAUAGAGAUAUCAACCCACCGCGCAAUUUUCUAGCAUCUAGAAGACUCCAGAAGCCACGGGAAGGAAGCGGAGCCCGAAAGGGGCCAGGCCCAGGGCGCCCGCCCCCCUCUGGACUCCGUUCCGGACUCUCUUCGCACACGACGUUCCACCGACCUAUUGGAUCCAGAAUAACAUAGUACCACCUCGCCUAUCGACCUAAAAACGCAUAGAAGGGGAGGACUAUAUAAGGAGACCCCCCUGGCCCCUGGAGAAGACAAGAAAUUAUCAUAGAGAUUGAGGGGUGCCCUCGAAGGAAAACCUCUUCUCUAAAUAAUAUUUCGUUUUAGGCUUAGCAACCAAUGUAAGGUAGAAAUAGAUCUUCUAGUUUCUACUAGAUUGGGAGAGAUAGAGUGGAGGUGUGGAUCGGAGGAAGGCCGGCCUGUCGGUGUCUACUCCGAGUUGUACCUACGGGAUCAAGUCUCCUAACCCGAGGCUUGCUUCUAAGAUUCUUCAGUAAUUCGACUUCUAAUACUAGUAAGUUCUUGUUUUAUUGUUCUUUGGUUUAUGAGUUUACUUUAAUCCUCUUCCGGUUGAGUAUUAGAGUAAUCACUUGUUAGCGUAAACGUGGUGUUUAGGCUAGGGUACUCAUAGAUAUCCCCUGACUAGCUGGACCGUGGUAGUAGCGAGGAACGUGACAUUUCCGAGUUACCUUUGUAGAUCACAUCUCGUUAGCAGGACGGGUAGGUUUAUAGGUGCGGGUCGAACAUCCUUUGUGUUGUCUAGAUUCCGUGAGCCUCCCCAAUAGAACAGUAGAUCAUCCUUACCAAGGUUAGAACGAGACUACGGUUGCAGUCUUCUCUAUACAUCACUCACAUCGAGAGACAUUCUUUGUAGCCUAAUGGGAUAGUAGCCUAGAUUUGGUUAGUCAGAUGCACCCUUUCUCCCAGUGGUAAAAAUAUAAAUACGAUAACUCUGGAUAACCUCCCGGGUGAAAUGCUCACCGAUAUCCGUGCGCUUGCGGAUCAUUUCCUUAUUGCGUUACCAAAUAUCAACAAGCAUUUCUGGCGCCGUUGCCGGGGAGAAAGACGGUUUGCUGAGAUAACUUUGAGUCUUGCUAUUAUCUUGUAUUAUACUUUUAUACUUUUAUUCUUUUAUCUUUUUAUUUUGUCUAUCUUUAUGGAUAACUCAAAUUCCAUACAUAUUAUUAAAUUCUUUGCACCUUCGGAGACCAGCCAUAGACCAUGGGAGUCAACACGUCCUGCCCCUAAUUAUGAUCUGUGUCCGGAGUUGAUUGCAAUAGGUCAAAACCAACCCUUUUCUAUAGCCGAGGUCCUAUCUUUUAAUCAAGAAGAUAAUGCACUUUUAGCUACACCUAGGGAAUCUUUUAAUCUUUCUAUAAAUUCUGGUUUAGACCUAGCCCUACAAGAUCAUGUUUUUCCUAGAUAUUUUCAAAUUGGUCUUAAUCAUAUAACCUUUGGUAGAGUCAUUCUUUCUUUAUCUAUUAGUAAAGGAAGGUAUGUCUUCAUUUGUGGACAUCCUUCUUGUACUAGCAUUCAUAGAAUAAUCUUAGAGAUAGAGAAGGAAUCAUCUCCCAGACAAGGAGAGGAUGUUUCAAUAGCCGAUUUCCAAACAUUUCAAUCCCAUGAUUCGGCUAUCCAUCCCAUCCUUGAGCUUAAUAGUUUCUACUAUGCUCUUCCUCUUGAACCUCCCGAUAAUCCUAUGAAUCUUUCUAGACAUCCCAUGCAUAAGAAGGAGGAUCGAGAAGAGCAACAUCAAUGGCUAGAGGGCAUUAAAAAUCCAUGUGCUAUCACCAUUGAAUGGAUAGAUAAAACAAACUUGAGAGACAAUCCUAGAGGAAUUUUAAACAUUCAUGAAGAAUCAUCCUUGGAGUUUGAGAAUAAGAGAAACAACAGUGAGCAUGGAAGUUAUUUCAUAAAUACCUCACCCAGUCCUUGCUCAUAUAAAACAUCUCUCCAAUCAAUUUGUCUCUCCAUCCUUACCACAUUUGAGAUCUUCAACCCCCUCUUCUUUUCUAUUUAUAAAAACUUUAAAAGGGCGGUUGUCGAUGCAUAUGUCUAUAAUAAAUAUUGCAGAUCUCGUUGAGUUAAUUGAUGGUUCCCCAAGGACAAGCUUAGUGUCCUAAAACAAGCACUUCUAAUUAUUUGCAACAUUGCCUUGUGUAUUGAGCAUAUAAAGAUAAUUGUAGAAAUAUUCCUUCAGGUAUUCUUGCCACUAACCUUUCUAGGAUUGGAGCAAGAAGAUCGGAUGAAUGACAAGCGCAAGGUAUGCCCAACCAAUCAUCAUGCAACAUUAAAUUAAAUUCAUCCAAUCUUGAAUUUUGCAAAAUUCAAGCUUGGGGGAGUACUUUACAUAAAACAUCAUUUGCCAUGUUGCUAUGUUGGUUGUCCUUACCUUUGAGACAUGCUCAAUUUGUUAAAUACUAAUCACACUACUUCAUCUCCACUUGAGUAGAUCUCUAUAAAAGCCAUCGUGCUACCUUUGUUUAUCCUAGUAAGUGUUAGUUUGGAAGUACUGGUCACACUUCCAAUGGCAUUUAAAUUAAGCAUGGUGCUUAGGUUAAAUAGCCUUCCUUAAUCUGAUUAGACAUGGAGUCUAGUUUGGUUACUGAACUAAAAACUGCUUGAGUAGAUAUUGGUAUAUUUUGUUGGACUAACCCCUGUAGGAAAACUUUCAAUAUCAACCUGGGAAGUCCUGAGAUGCAAACUCAUUAGAGAUGAAGAAAGUGACACAUGAAGUUUAACAAUUUGCUCAAGAAAGACGUAGCUCAUAAGAGAUGAUUCAUGGAGGGUGCCACAAACACGAUGCACAACCGCUAAGAAAGGAAAGCUUCCACAAGGUGAUACUGUACCAUCACUCUUCAAGUAAGGUAACAUCUUAAGGUACUUGACUAACACUUUUAUAAGCUCCUCUUUGGUUCUGGCAUUCACAUAAAUAAAGAGACAAACAUGUAUGAUUUAUAACUCCAAAUUAACCAACUCAAUUAAUUCAACAUGUUUAGUCCUUUAAUCUUUAUUCUUAGUACUACCUUCGUGACCCCACACUCCUAAUCAUAUAAGCUAAAGUAUUGCACAUGCAAUCUUUGGAAGAUAUAAACAAAAUAUAAAUAUAGAUAGAUUAUCUUUCCAUUAGGUUGAGCCAUCUGAUCUGACAAAUGCUACACUCAUGAUCCAUCAAUUUUGUCUUGCUCACUAUGCUUAAGGUUAGAGAAGAACAAAUACACUUUUGGUUCUGUUGGUGUUUUCCACCAACAGGGCCCAUGCACUUGAUCUCUACCUUGUCUCUAUGAGCAGGAACACUUCGAGCAUAAUAUGAAGGAGUUUUACAACUCCCAGAUUCCACUAAGUGAAGAACUAGGAUCUACGAGCACAAACACACUGGAGAUACUGGACGCUCAGGCAAUCACUGCCCUAAGAUGCUUGAGGACGUGAACUACAUCAACAACAAUAACAACUAUUACUACAACCGUCCUCAACGACAUCAAGGUUGGAAUCAACAAAGGCCUAAUUACUCAGAGAGGUGAUCUAGGACGCCCCGUCAUCCCGAUCUCCAUCGGCAUGGUGGACUUCCCAGAAGCACUCUGCGACUUUGGCUCUAGCGUCAACAUUAUGCCCAGGGUUGCAGAUCGGACACUUAGUUUCCCAAAGGAAAUAUUAAAGAACCUCUGCGUCCGAGUUGGUACCUUGUAUGCUCUAGCAGACUUCAUGGUGAUAGAGACUGGUACUGAGGAGAGGGCACCCAUCAUCUUAGGGAGGCCAUUCCUAAACACUAGAGCUGUCAUCUACGCUAAUGCUGCCAAGAUCAGUCUCUACAUCAAGGGGAAGAAGGAGACUUUCCUUCAAGAACAAGACUACACAAACUUCAGAGCAACCCCGACAUGAGCCAAGGAAGAGGACCAACAGGAGGAACAGGAACAAGCAAAUGUGGACCGAGUCAGCUAAGAUGGUCACUGCAGUUCAAGGAGGUCAAGAUCGUCGACUCAAGUCACCUUUCUUGAUCAAGAAGGACGACCCUGGUGUUCUAAGCAUUGAAGUGCACAAUCAACAGAUACUCUUUUCAGAAGACACUCUACGACACCGGAUCUGACGUCAACAUAAUGGCCGUAGUCACUUAUCAGCUCCUGCAUGAAACCAUGCCCCUACAACCAAUAUACAUUCAGCUAUAGAUGACUUUCAAGUUAUUGACAUGGGAGAAGAUGAAUAUGAUCCACCCACCAUCCUUGGAAGACAGUUCCUCAGCACUAUCAAAGCCAUCAUCUAUAUUGGAACCGGAGAAGUCCACAUACACUUCUCCUCUGAGAAGGUAUGCCGCUGUUUUACUGACCCUAACUAUAUAGUUGAAGACUCUAAGCAGGUCAGGACAAGAAGAAAUCAUCAAGGACGGAUGGGUAGACUACGAAGGAGAAGUGAUAAGGACUGAAGACAUACCACUUGAACAUAACUGUCCUGAGGAGACCAUAGCACCGAGUCAGGUGUGGAGAGAGAAUAUAGUUACACACGAAGAGGAGGCGCCACCGGAAUCACCGACUACGUCAUCCAGCGAAUCCCAGGACGAUUAAGAAAAUGGAGAGUCCCGCUCGGAGGACUUAAAAACACCGAACGCCUUGCCAAGAGGUAAACUUGGUAGUUAUCCUUUCCCUUUUAAUUAUUUCAAAUAGUUUACUUAGUUAAUCAUGUUCGUAUUAUCCUAGAAAGAAAAUAAAAAAAAUGUGAAAAAAAACUGUAAGCCCCAUGUGAGUAGACGAGUGGCACAAAACCCAUAAGUACAUUCACUGUGGUGGCAUAAAAAUAAAAUAAAUAUUUUUCUGCUUUAUAAAAACAAAAAUAUAAAAACAGGGAGUAAUAUUUAUUAAGGAGUCUCAACAUGAUAAAGGCUAGAUGUUUAUGCUAACACUUAACCAGUUCCACAAGCUUUGUUGUCUAUUUGAGCUCCACAGAAUUUAAGAAUCAAGAAGACUAGCAGACGGAGGACAUUCUAAUCGCUGUCAAAAUACUGCUGACUUUCAAACACACCUCUGCCACCUGCUAGCUACAUCAAGAGAAAUUACGUCAAAAUUCAGCUUGGGGGAGAGCACCCCCAUUUAUCUCGAUAAGUAUUUCUAUCUAUCUUUAUACUUAUACUAUAUUAGAAUAUAAAUACACAUAACUAUGAAAAACCAAAUAAAGAUUUUAUGCUUAUAUAUAUUUUGCUUAGUGUGUUUAAUAAAUAAAUAAAGUGGCUAUGCUAAUCGGUAUCUAAUAAAACUUAAGCAUGGAUAUGAUGAAUAGUUGCUCUGCCUAAUUUGCAAAUUAGAAGUUCUCUCUCAAGUUUAGAUAUAACUGUUAUAAUUUAAGGCCUGCUCUAGACCUAAACUUGUGGGAUGAAGACUUGAUCUGAAGUCUAAGUUGUUAACGGAUACGAUAUGGGAAGGUUGAGCUGCUGUUUAUCUGUUCCUAGAGAUGCUAGAAUUUUGGAGAAUUUUAUCUUUGAAAAAUCUUUAAAAUAACACAUGAUGAGUUCCUGUAUGAUGAGAGUUUAAAUUCCUACCACAACCAUAUAUACAUGCUUGCUAGACCUUGAGCCACACAUUUACUAUUUACUGCUUAUGAGCAUUGAGUGUGGUCAAGCUGUGUAGACCCUUAGGAGCUUGUCAUGUGGUUAAAUCAAGAUUCACUUGCACGUUCACUCAUACAUGCUACUUCUACUCCGGAAGUACCAUCCACAUAUAUCCUCUCAUUUCCAUCUCCAAAACCACCCAAAAGUAUUCUACUCCAAAUCCGAGAGAGAAUAACCAAAAAUAUUUCUGUUUCCCCUUGUGAAAUAAAUGCUCAAGUUAUCUUGUUACUACCACUUGCUAUAUUAUCUCAAGAGAUGAAUGCUCUAAAAAAAAGAGAAAAAGAAAAUAAAAGAUACGAGGAAAUAAAAAGGAGCAAGUGCUCGGAACCUCGAAAGAAAAGAAAAAUAUAGAGCAUCUCAUUCUCCUCAUAAAGUUUCAAAAGCAAGGAAGGUAUGUAUCCCCUCAAAGAGCAAAGUAGAAUUAGACUUCCACCACCAUUAUCACCAUCAUCACCAUACACCAUUCACAUGCACAUCUUGAUUUGGCUUAUUGAUUUGUUUCUUUGGAUCCAUGGUUUGACUAUACAAUAAAUGUCUUGUAAGUAUGUAUACUUUAUCUCCCACCUAUGAGCUCCAGAUAUUAAAGCCUUAUUAGAGUAGGGUGAGAGAGAAGGCAAUGUCACUAUGCCUCAUUCCACAAAUACCACAUAUUUUGAGAGAAGGCAUAUACCAUCACUGCCUUGGUAAGGAUCCAGAAAUACCACAAAAGAGAGUCCUGAGAGAGUCAUAUAAGGAAUCUCUGAGUUUUAUUUGAAAAUCUGCAAAAACCCCAGAGCUAUAGCUGAUCAAGAAUAAGAGACAUGGCACUUGGCUAGACUGUUCUAUCUUUUAACCACUCAAGAAAGAAGUGACGGUUACAAGUCCUAUGGUGUAGGUAAAGUAAGUAAGUUUUAAGUCUUAACAGUUUAUUCUAACUCAGAGAUGAGAUCUUGUUUAAAUGCGUGUGUACUUCUAAGAAAUGAAACCACUGCAGAAACUCUUGAGUUCAUCCUUGCUCAGGGACGAGCAAGAGGUAAGCUUGGGGGAGUUUGUUGACGGUCCUUAAGUAUCAAAUAUAAUCAUCAAAUAAAUAAAAAAAAGGAUCCAAAUGCAACCAACAC